GGGCGAUUAGCUCAGUGGGAGAGCACUACCUUGACACGGUAGGGGUCACUGGUUCAAUCCCAGUAUCGCCCACCC
rnacentral:tRNA from 1 species